UACAGAGGGUGCAAGCGUUGUCCGGAAUCAUUGGGCGUAAAGAGCGUGUAGGCGGCUUGGUAAGUCCGCUGUGAAAGUCCAGGGCUCAACCCUGGAAAGCCGGUGGAAACUGUCAAGCUUGAGUCCGGAAGAGGCGAGUGGAAUUCCUGGUGUAGCGGUGAAAUGCGCAGAUAUCAGGAGGAACACCGAUGGCGAAGGCAGCUCGCUGGGACGGUACUGACGCUGAGGCGCGAAAGCGUGGGGAGCAAACAGG
rnacentral:rRNA from 1 species